rnacentral:rRNA from 1 species
UACCCCUACGGGGCGCAGCAGUGAGGGAUAUUGGUCAAUGGAGGAAACCCUGAACCAGCAACGCCGCGUGAGGGAAGACGGUUUUCGGAUUGUAAACCUCUGUCCUCUGUGAAGAUAAUGACGGUAGCAGAGGAGGAAGCUCCGGCUAACUACGUGCCAGCAGCCGCGGUAAUACGUAGGGAGCAAGCGUUGUCCGGAUUUACUGGGUGUAAAGGGUGCGUAGGCGGUCCGGAAAGUCAGCGGUAAAAGCCCGGGGCUCAACCCCGGCGAGCCGUUGAAACUGUCGGACUA